rnacentral:rRNA from 1 species
CAGUCGCCACGGGAAUACGGAGGGAGCUAGCGUUGUUCGGAGUUACUGGGCGUAAAGCGCGCGUAGGCGGUUACUCAAGUCAGAGGUGAAAGCCCGGGGCUCAACCCCGGAACUGCCUUUGAAACUAGGUGACUAGAAUCUUGGAGAGGUCAGUGGAAUUCCGAGUGUAGAGGUGAAAUUCGUAGAUAUUCGGAAGAACACCAGUGGCGAAGGCGACUGACUGGACAAGUAUUGACGCUGAGGUGCGAAAGCGUGGGGAGCAAACAGGAUUAGAUACCCCUGUAGUCCCUGUCUCUUAUAC